GACGAACGCUGGCGGCGUGCUUAACACAUGCAAGUCGAACGGAAAGGCCCUGCUUGCAGGGUACUCGAGUGGCGAACGGGUGAGUAACACGUGGGUGAUCUGCCCUGCACUUCGGGAUAAGCCUGGGAAACUGGGUCUAAUACCGGAUAGGAGCCAUUUUUAGUGUGAUGGUUGGAAAGUUUUUUCGGUGUAGGAUGAGCUCGCGGCCUAUCAGCUUGUUGGUGGGGUAAUGGCCUACCAAGGCGGCGACGGGUAGCCGGCCUGAGAGGGUGGACGGCCACAUUGGGACUGAGGUACGGCCCAGACUCCUACGGGAGGCAGCAGUGGGGAAUCUUGCACAAUGGGCGCCAGCCUGAUGCAGCGACGCCGCGUGGGGGAUGACGGCCUUCGGGUUGUAAACUCCUUUCGCUAGGGACGAAGCUUUUUGUGACGGUACCUAGAUAAGAAGCACCGGCUAACUACGUG
rnacentral:rRNA from 1 species